rnacentral:misc_RNA from 1 species
CAGAGUUCGUGCCCUUACGGGUAGAUCUCCCACCCUGUGUUAUUACUACCUUUGUUGCUUUGGCGGGCCGCCCUCGGCCACCGGCUCUCCGGCUGGUGUGCGCCCGCCAGAGGACCCCAAACUCUGAAUAUUAGUGUCGUCUGAGUCCUAUAUAAUAGUUA